rnacentral:lncRNA from 1 species
CAGCUAACCCCAAUGGCCUACCAUUUUCUUUAACAACAAUGGGGCCACUUAUUUAUCUGUUUACGUUCACUCCCGGACGAAGCGCAAAGACUUUGAAACCACUUUUGUCCGAAAUCAUGUUACAAAUGGUCCCUUUGUUGUCUCUUACAUAUCUUUUAGUGAUCAUCUGGCUGACACCCUCACCAAGCCGCUAUCUACUUCUAAAUUUGGUUACCUACUUUUCAGGACCGGAAUGAAUGUGAGCUCAAUCUUGCAAAGGCCUGUCAAGGAUAAAUCACUAUCCUUGGCUGAAGAUUCUAGACCCAUACUGAUACGAGGAUUAUGAUCACAUCCGAAAGAUAAAAUAGAAUCCAGAGAAUAAAGGUUGAGAUUUUGUAAUCUGGAUUUUUACAAUUGUAAUUUUAUCAUUUCGUUUGUACCAAUCUUACUAUUUGUUGAGCAAUAAAUACAUGUAAUCUGGAUGAAUAAAAUACAACAUAAAAAUGUAUAAACAAGUUCUUUCCAUAGAAACAAGCCCGUUUCAAAAAUGAUACUGAUAUCUAGUCUUUGCCUUGUGAAAUCCCUAAUGUUAAUGGCUAGUAUUUCAUUGUAAAUUACUUUAAUUCCUUUGAUUUGAUGGUAUAUUGCAUUGUUUAGGGCCUCCUAAGAUAUUUCUGAGAACAGAGAACUAAUUGAAUUUCUAUGUUGUUCAACAUAAUGCUAAAAGCUUCUCAGAGUAACUUAAUAUUUUAAACAAGGUAAUUUAGCAUGGUAUCAGAGCAUAGCAUGUUGAGGUUUGAAGUUUGAAUCUUGCCACCGCCAAUUUUGAGAAUUGCUUACAUGUGUUAUACAAGUCUAUGUAAGAAAAGAAGCAGAUAGAGAGUUACAAGAAUCUCUAUCUUUCAAAAAAUGAAAGACCAAAAGGAGCGCUCACUUUGGAAAAUACUCUUUUCAGGGCUUAAUGUUGAAUAAAUUUGGGCUUAAACCAUCUUUUACUGGGUUAAAAUUAUCUUGGUUUUGGCUGCUAGCAAAAAACUGAUGGCUAGAUCACUUCCAGGUUUAUUCUAUAAUAGAUGUUUCAAAAACUGUAUAUGAUCAUGCGCAUGUAGCAUAAUGCUAAAAAAACGCAACAGAUAAAAGGAUGAAUGAGAUUUACAAGAAGUUACUAGGAAAAAAUAAAGUGAAGAGGAACGAGAAAAGAAGUUGAAAAAGAUAAUUGAGCAUUUUCGAUUUUGAUUGAAGUUUUAGCUUAUCUUCUAUACUGGUAUGGUUACAUAUUUUCAACAAAGUUUAAACCGGUUAAUGAAGUAUCAAGAAUGAAAGUUGGACUACAAACAAGAGACUGAAGAUAUUAACUACGUUGUACAUUAAUUCUUUGAAUUCAUGUUGAUUCAUGUUGAAAUGUUAUGUUAGGUGCACUUGCAUUGGACUGUUCAAAGAUCGUAAUGAACAAAUCAACUUCUUCCAUCCCCUAUUUGGCUGAUAAUAGCAAUGAUCAAGGUGAGAUUAUCUAUUCUUUACCUGUGUGCCUGCUUUUUGCAAAUUUUCUUGUUAAGGUCACAUUUUUAGUCAAUGAUACAGAUGUCGUGCUUGUUCAUGUAUUCCCU